rnacentral:lncRNA from 12 species
UUGAUCCCAGGACUCUGAGAUCAUGACUUGAGCUGAAGGCAGGUGCUUAACCGACUGAGCCACUCAGGUACCUCUAGGUAAUUUCUUAUUCUGUACUCUUACACUGGAAUAAGAUUAUUUGACUUUUUCCACUGGUUACUUUGGCCUCUGGAAAAGUAGUUCACCUGUUCCCACUUGAAGAGAAAAGAGAAGUUAUGGCUAGAAGGGAUUUUUAGAGCUCCUCUAGAUCAGAAAUGGUCAACAUUCAGUACACCAGUUUCUACUCCGUGCCCAUAGCAGACAUUACUAAUCAAUCUUGACACUUAUUUUUUUCACUGGACCUCAAUUGUGGCUUCAGAGUCUUCUCAAGAGAGGACUGCAGACAGAGCUGGUGCUCAAGAUGACAACUGUUUGCCAAACCUGUUCUGAUCUAAGCUCUUCAUAGGUGUGGAGACUUAGACACAUAGGUGUCCAAUGACUUUAAGGGGGUCCCACUGUCACCUAGAGAACACACAUCUUCUGAAUGAGAAUCCAUAUCUUCUGUCUCUUCAGGGAUCUUUGUGGGAUAAUUUGGAGUGAAGAGAAGAAAAAAAAUGAGACAUUCAUGUGAGCACAUUAUAUAAGCAAAGGGCUGGGGCAGAAGAGGACAUUCUUCCAUGGCAGGUGGGGGUCUGUUUAUAAGGUGCCACAGCAGGACUGGAUUUAAGGUAGGAAGAGAGAAGGAGGAUGUGAGUAUUCAUGGAAUCCUAUGCCUAGUCCUUGGUUCCGGCAACGGAUCUUUAAGGUAAGAAUUAUUAUCUGUUUUACAGAUAAGAACACUGACCUUGAUAACAUGCCCAAAGUCCUCUAACAAACACAGAUAGAGUUUGAAUUCAAAUCCAGUUCUGUCCAAAUCCCAAGCCCUUUCUCCAUCCUGCCACACUUCCUGAAAUCUGCCCAGGCAGCCCUCACUCUUUCCUCAUACCCUGCCCUAACUUGGCAGGAUGAAAACCUCCUUUUAAUAAUCUUUUCAGGGUGGUUUUCCCCCCCCCUCCUAGUCUGAGACUAUUGAUGACCUAACAUGGAGUCUAAAUAAAAAUAUCUUUGGGGAGGCUGGGAGCCUUCCC